rnacentral:rRNA from 1 species
CAGUAGCCGCGGUAAUACGGAGGGGGCUAGCGUUGUUCGGAAUUACUGGGCGUAAAGCGCACGUAGGCGGCUUUGUAAGUUAGAGGUGAAAGCCUGGAGCUCAACUCCAGAAUUGCCUUUAAGACUGCAUCGCUUGAAUCGCGGAGAGGUGAGUGGAAUUCCGAGUGUAGAGGUGAAAUUCGUAGAUAUUCGGAAGAACACCAGUGGCGAAGGCGGCUCACUGGCUCGGUACUGACGCUGAGGUGCGAAAGCGUGGGGAGCAAACAGGAUUAGAUACCCCUGUAGUCCCUGUCUCUUAUAC